UGCUUACCAUGCAGUCGACGAUGAAGCCUAGCUUGCUAGGUGGAUUAGUGGUGCACGGGUGAGUAAUAUAUAGAUAACGUGCCUCUUAGUCUGGGAAGCCACUGGAAACGGUGAUUAAUACUAGAUACUCCUUCUCAUUCUAAUGUGAGUCGGGAAAGUUUUUCUUCUAGAGAUCGGUCUAUAUCCUAUCAGCUAGUUGGUGAGGUAAGAGCUCACCAAGGCAAUGACAGGUAGCGGGUUUGAGAGGAUGAUCCGCCACACUGGUACUGAGACACGGACCAGACUCCUACGGGAGGCAGCAGUGAGGAAUAUUGCACAAUGGAGGAAACUCUGAUGCAGCAACGCCGCGUGGAGGAUGACGCAUUUCGGUGUGUAAACUCCUUUUAUAUUUUAAGAAAAUGACGGUAGCAUAUGAAUAAGCACCGGCUAACUCCGUGCCAGCAGCCGCGGUAAUACGGAGGGUGCAAGCGUUACUCGGAAUCACUGGGCGUAAAGGACGCGUAGGCGGGAUGCCAAGUCUGAUGUGAAAUCCUAUGGCUCAACCAUAGAACUGCAUUGGAAACUGGUAACCUAGAGUAUGGGAGGGGGAGAUGGAAUUAGUGGUGUAGGGG
rnacentral:rRNA from 1 species